rnacentral:tRNA from 1 species
AAGAUACUAGUAAAACAACUAUUACACUGCCUUGUCAAGGCAGAAUUGCAAGUUAGACCCUUGCGUAUCUUA